CGCACGGGUGCGUAACGCGUAUACAAUUUACCUCAUACAGGGAGAUAGCCCGAAGAAAUUUGGAUUAAUAUCCCAUGGUAUCAUUUUUUCGCAUGUUAAGAUGAUUAAAGAUUUAUCGGUAUGAGAUGAGUAUGCGUCCUAUUAGUUAGUUGGUGAGGUAACGGCUCACCAAGACGACGAUAGGUAGGGGGCCUGAGAGGGUUAUCCCCCACACUGGUACUGAGACACGGACCAG
rnacentral:rRNA from 1 species